GAUACCCUAUUAUUAACAAUGUAUUUUAUGCUAGGAUUAUUAUUAGUUAUGAUCUAUAAAAUUAAAAAAUUUGGCGGUAUUUUAGUCUAUUCAGAGGAACCUGUUUUUUAAUUGAUAAUCCACGAUUAUUUAUACCUUUAUUUUUAAUUUAUAUAUCGUCGUUAAAAAAAUUUCAGGAGAGUAAUAAUUUUUGGGUUUUUAAAUUAAAUAUUAAUUCAGAUCAAGGUGUAGUUUAUAUAAAGGAAAAAAUGGGUUACAUUAUAUUUAUAUUUGGUGUCUUUGUUUAAAAUUUUGAUUAAAUUGGAUUUGAUAGUAAAUUAUUUAUUUAUAAUUUUUGAUAUAGCUCUAAAGUAUGUACACAUCGCC
rnacentral:rRNA from 1 species